CUCUCUCACACACACACACACACACACACACACACACACACACACACACACAAACAAGUACACACCAUGUUUUGAUUUAUCUGUCCUGUUAACUAAUCUUAUACUCCAGUCUGGUACUGGUCAUCUAUAUCUUUUCUUCCUACAACUGGGUGAGUGAGUCUGGCACUCACAGUCUACUCUAAGAAACAAAUUAAAAUACAGCUUCUGAGUUUACUCUUUCCAAGUUGUUAAUAUUUCAUGAUUCUGAUGGGAAAAUAUCUAAAUUUGGGUAAUUAAACCUAUUUUGAAGACUGAAACAGAGACUCUGGGGUCAAGAUUGGAAAGAGCUUUAAAUCCAGGCUUCUCAGAAAAAACUCUCUCCUCAUUGUCUACCUUUCUUUUCUAUUUCUGUCUGGUUUCAACCAGAUUUCCUAAUGCUCUCAAAUUGUAGAUAAAUAGAUCUGUUCAUAUUGCUGAAGUCAGGGAUAAAACUCAGGCUGAGGACAAAUUUAUGGAAUAUGCCCAGGAGACAAUGACAAUAUUGGCAAAGGACAUACAUCCUGUUUAUCUGCCUAAGAAAUGCUGACGAAUUAUGAGCCAAAGUCCUUCACAUUUCAGACAUUACUGAGAGUAGAGCUAUGGGCCCUAUUGGUGAAGCAUUUUCAACCUUUUAAAAUGUAUCAAAAAGAGUGAGACUGACUUCAUCAUUGGGAUCUGGGUGUUGCAUAAUGCCAAUCAUCAUUUCCCCCAUAUCUACUAUUACGUUCAGAUCCAGGGGGAGCAGAGCCAGAUGCCCAGGUGAAUUUGAUGUUUUGAUAUAUUUUGUCUCAAAAGCCACCAUCCUAUUCCAAGCCGACUUUGUUAAUGAUUUGGGAACAGGAACAAAUAUCACUGAAGAAAUGUGAGAAGAUUACAUGAACCUGACGCAUUACCAUGAAAUUCCUAUUGAAAAUAUUAAAAAUGUCUGUGAAGAAGGUCAGUCAAUUUCUGUAAACUGGCCUGAAAUUAGAGCAAAUCACAAAGAUUCUUGUUUUCAUUUCAGCAAUGUAAAAUCUUUACAGAAAAUAUAAAGUAAAUCCAAUUAUAUUUUUAAUGUCCCCUUUUUUGUUAUACCUCACAGAUGCUUGCCCUAAAUGAAAGCAUUGAUCCCAGAAGCAGAAACAGGACAUUAUGUGCUGUCCUUGAUCAUUGGAAUAAAUUUUUGAGGUUGAUUCAAUCAAGCAAACACAAAGUGUUCAUAGUUGUUACUCUGGAAAUUCUGCACACCCUCCUGAAAUCA